rfam:Colwellia sp. PAMC 21821, complete genome.
AAGAAAUGCGGCUGGUUGAGUAUCCUAACGGGCUUUUCAACUGGUAAAUUUUAAUUUAAAAAUAGGAGAUGUGUUUAGUGGCCCGUAUCGCUGGCAUUAACAUCCCUGAU